AGAGGAUAGCUCAGUGGUAGAGUGUGAGCUUUGCAUGCACAAGGUCCUGGGUUCAAUCCUCAGUAUCUCUG
rnacentral:tRNA from 1 species